rnacentral:rRNA from 1 species
GACGAACGCUGGCGGCGUGCCUAAUACAUGCAAGUCGAGCGGAGCGGGGACGGGUGAGUAACACGUGGGCAACCUCCCGUAAGACCGGGAUAACUUCGGGAAACCGGAGCUAAACCGGAUACUUACGGAUGGGCCCGCGGCGCAUUAGCUAGUUGGUGAGGUAACGGCUCACCAAGGCGACUAUGCGUAGCCGACCUGAGAGGGUGAUCGGCCACACUGGGACUGAGACACGGCCCAGACUCCUACGGGAGGCAGCAGUAGGGAAUCUUCCGCAAUGGACGAAAGUCUGACGGAGCAACGCCGCGUGAGCGAAGAAGGUCUUCGGAUUGUAAAGCUCUGUUGUUAGGGAAGCGGUACCUAACGAGAAAGCCACGGUAACUACGUGCCAGCCGCCGCGUAAUAC